rnacentral:rRNA from 1 species
UACGGGAGGCAGCAGUGGGGAAUAUUGCACAAUGGGCGAAAGCCUGAUGCAGCUAUGCCGCGUGUAUGAAGAAGGCCUUAGGGUUGUAAAGUACUUUCAUCGGGGAGGAAAAAACAAAACUAAUAAUUUUAUUUUCUUGACGUUACCCGAAAAAGAAGCACCGGCUAACUCCGUGCCAGCAGCCGCGGUAAUACGGAGGGUGCUAGCGUUAAUCAGAAUUACUGGGCGUAAAGAGCACGUAGGUGGUUUUUUUAAAGUCAGAUGUGAAAUCCCUGGGCUUAACCUAGGAACUGCAUUUUGAAACUGAAAUACUAGAGUAUCGUAGAGGGAGGUAGAAUUCUAGGUGUAGCGGUGAAAUGCGUAGAUAUCUGGAGGAAUACCUGUGGCGAAAGCGGCCUCCUAAACGAAUACUGACACUGAGGGUGCGAAAGCGUGGGGAGCAAACGAGGGAUUAGGAUA